ACUGCGGCUGCCUGCUUUUUAUCUCUAACUUCUCGAACCACAACGAACACCUCCUUUUACCACCUCCUCCAGACCAGUCCUCGUUCUGCGAUUCGCCAUCGCCCAAAUCGAGAGGGGGACAAGGAAUUAAAACCUCGCCGCCGCCAGUCCCCUCCCUCUCCACCUCGUCGCCGGCGAUGGCCGACGGCGAGGCCGGCGCGUACAGGGAGUUCAAGGCGCUGGCGGAGGCGGCGGACCGCAAGUUCGCGCGCGCGCGGGACCUGCCGCUCUACGGCGGCGGUGACCACCACAGCCGCAAGGCCUUCAAGGCGUACACGCGCCUGUGGCGCCUGCAGCAGGAGCGCCGCCGGGAGCUCGUCGCCGGCGGGCUCCGCCGAUGGGAGAUCGGCGAGGUCGCCUCGCGGAUCGGGCAGCUCUACUACGCGCGGUACCUCCGCACGGCCGAGCCGCGGUCGCUCGUCGGGGCCUACGUCUUCUACGAGGCCAUCUACAGCCGCGGGUACUUCGGCGCCGCGGCGGGCGCGGAAGGCGGCGGCGGCGGCGGCGGCCGGCACCAGGCGCUCCUGAUCCGGUACAAGGAGCUGCGGUUCAUCGCGCGGUUCCUCGUCGUCGCCAUGCUGAUGCGGCGGGCCGAGGCGGUCGACCACCUCGCCGGGCGCCUCCGCGCGCUCGUUGAGGAGUCCAAGGCGGCGUACCCUAAAACCAACUUCAAGGAAUGGAAACAAGUGCUUCAAGAGCUUGGGAGAUUCUUGAAGGCUGAUGGGGCAUACAAGGGAUCUAGAUCACUGAGAUAUGACAACCUGUUUGAUUCUUAUCCAUCAAAUCUUGCAUCUAUCGCACGAUUCCAUUCAAAAAGAGUGUUGAAACUGAAGGAAGCUGUAUUAACAAGCUAUCGCCGAAAUGAGGUCAAGUUCACAGAACUAACUUUGGACACAUUCAGAAUGCUACAGUGUUUGGAAUGGGAACCCACUGGAUCUUAUCAGAUCGCUGCCAAAGAACUUACUGAAAAUGGCACUGUAAGUGAUCAGAGCGGGCCCUCUGGUCUCAUUGAUAUUCACCUGUCUGCUGAAAUCUCUGAUGGAAGUCUUCCUUCGAAUCCUCAAAAAGCAAUUAUAUAUCAUCCUACAGUUUCUCAUCUUUUAGCGGUUCUUGCAACAAUCUGUGAGGAUCUUUCUCAAGAUAGCAUUCUACUCAUCUAUAUAUCAGCAUCAGGAAGUACCGAGCAGAAUAUGGCCAGCCAAAAGUAUGCCUCUAGCUCCUCAUCACAUGCAACGGCUGCUUCUGCUUUCCCUAUUGAUAAGCCAAAAUCACAUAUGAGUUCUGAUAAUCAUCUAUGGCUUGGUCCCCGUGGAAGUGGAGGUCCGAACAGUCUUUAUCCUGAAGAUCUGAUACCAUUUACAAGAUAUCCCCUGUUCCUUGUAAUUGAUAGCGAAAAUAGCCAUGCAUUCAAGGCAGGCCAUACAUAAUGCAGAGAAGGGAGAACCAGCUGCAUUAUUACUUUCUCCUAGGAUAUCAUCAGCCAUGCCUUGUGUAGAAUCCAUGGGUCAUGGAAGCCAGUUUACAUACUUCCUUACUGCUCCAAUGCAAGCUUUCUGCCAACUAGCUGGAAUAACUUCUGACAUAGAUACUGAUACAUAUGCUAAUGCAGAGAACGUACUGUUCUCUGCUUUCGAAGAAUAUGAAGGAAUCCUCUGCACUUCUGUUGGGUUAAAUAAUGUCUGGGGACAAAUUUUACCUGAUCCAUUUCUCAGACGACUGAUUCUCAGGUUUAUCUUCUGUCGAGCAGUGCUCUUCUAUUUCCACCCCAAGGAGCAUGAACAACAUGUACCAACAUGCUUACCUAACCUCCCAGAGUCAGUCUCUCCAACCGCGGAAGCUAUCAAAACUCCUAUCCUCCUGCUCGCAGAAAACCUUGUCGUCAGCAACCGGUUUCAUUUCCGAGAUUCCAGACACAACAAGAAAUGAUCAACAGCAAUGACCAUAGAUCAAGCCUUCUGUAGAUACCUCCUUGGUAAAUAUAGUCCAGCAAUUUGUUGAUUGUUUCCCAUUUAUACCGCCAAUGGAGAAUGACUCGGCAUCAACAAGCUGCUGCAGUGGACUGGGUGAAUUGAGUGGUGAUACAAAGAGUUUUGCCUGGUGCUUCAUCUCCAUUGUGCGUCUGUAUAAGUUUGUUUAACUGUUCUCUGAUUUGCUUAGGCAUUUUAGGCGUGUAGGGGCUUGGCUUCAGUUUCUCUUGGGUUGUGUUAAGGAGAGGACAGUUUGUAAGCUGGAAGAGGCGUUUUUUUGGGUACUCUGGAAGGCAGAUUGUUUUGUAGGGUUGGUUAGCUCAGCAUAUUGGCGGCAGUUUACGACUCCCAUCUUCUCCCAUUGCGUUU